UUUAUGGUUUAUUGCAUGCUGAUACAGAAUCUGCAAGCCACGACGAUUCAGCAAUUGGUUUCAUUAUAAAGGUGCUUAAUAAAGAUGAUAUUGUUUUUAUUCGCACCACAAACAGGGCAGUGCCUCAAUGAAUUCUUCAUUCUAACUAUAUGAGAUGGACAUUCUUUGGUUGGCUAAUUGAAUGAUCUAUUGUAAUUUGAGUAUUAUAUUUUGUUAUAACUCAUGGGAUGUAUUGCUCAUUUGUAUCCUUUGAAAACAAAA
rnacentral:lncRNA from 1 species